AGUGAACGCUGGCGGCAGGCCUAACACAUGCAAGUCGAGCGGCAGCGCGGGGGCAACCCUGGCGGCGAGCGGCGGACGGGUGAGGAAUUCGUCGGAAUCUGCCUUUUUGUGGGGGAUAACGUAGGGAAACUUACGCUAAUACCGCAUACGUCCUACGGGAGAAAGUGGGGGACCGCAAGGCCUCACGCAGAAAGAUGAGCCGACGACCGAUUAGCUAGUUGGUGGGGUAAAGGCCCACCAAGGCGACGAUCGGUAGCUGGUCUGAGAGGAUGAUCAGCCACACUGGGACUGAGACACGGCCCAGACUCCUACGGGAGGCAGCAGUGGGGAAUAUUGGACAAUGGGCGCAAGCCUGAUCCAGCCAUGCCGCGUGUGUGAAGAAGGCCUCCGGGUUGUAAAGCACUUUUGUCCGGAAAGAAAUCCCUGGAGCUAAUACCUUCGGGGGAUGACGGUACCGGAAGAAUAAGCACCGGCUAACUUCGUG
rnacentral:rRNA from 1 species